ACUUUUUUCCCUUUCUCUUUCUUUCUUUCAUCCUUUAUAUAAAUCCUAAUAACUAUUACACUCCAUCAUUAUCACUUUUGAAACUCCAUUAUAAUUUCGAUUAAAGCUCAGAAGUUAUUUCUUGUUUUUAAAUAAUGGACUUAUCAAAUCCACCAUCUUUAGUAAAUAAUGAUCCCAUUGAUUCCUCCUUCAAAUCACUCAUUAUUAUUGUUCAUUUCGAUGUGACCACAACUCGACAAAUUUCUUCCUUAUUUCCCUUCAACAUGUAAUGAGUUUCGCUCCAUGGUUGACUUCGUUGCCGAAGACCCCUCUUGUAACUCGUAAUUAUUACUCCUCUAAUUCAGUUCAAAAGGUCACUUCUCUUCAGAUACUUCCUAUUGAGGAUGAAACCACUCCUACUCCUAGUCCAAAAAUGAGUUCGCUCUCAUUUAGUGAAGAAAUCUGGGGCUCUGGUUUUUAUUUCUAAAAAUGAACCUUUUUUGAAACAUCACCUCAUCCUGCUCCAAUUCAAACUCCUCACACUAGAAAUUGAAAAAGGAAAAAGAAAGCUUCUCUUGAGGAAGCUCUUCAAGCGAGUAAAAGGAAAAACUGUCCUCUUCUAUUCCUUCUACUCCAUGAAUUCCUCCCUCUGAUUUUGAUUUUCUUGUUUGAUUUAUUCAUUGAGAUGUCUAAACCACCUUCUCUAAAAUCUAAGUCAUCAAAAUAGGUCAUUCAACUUGGUCCAUCUUCUGACUCAGAAGCAACUAAGGAUGAUGCCCCUCUUCCUGCUGACAUUGAUAUCUCUGAGCCAUUUAAUCCCAAUUUGCAAUAUAUCUUGCACUUUUAAAAGAAGUUUUUUAUUCGUGGGUGAGUUGUUACUAGUUUUGGUGGUCCUGAAAUGGCUACUCUCUUGAGAAAAUUAAGUUUCAGGGUUGGUUUUCCUUAUUUUUUCAAGGUGACAUUCAACGGAAGUUUGGAAGGCCUAAUGUCUAUGAGUUUUAUACUAACGAAUUUGCAAAUGGAGACCUCUUCACCACUUUUAUGUGAGGAGUGUCUUUUCGUCUUGCUACUGAAGACAUUGCUCGAAUCCUUGCUUUUCUUCUGUGGGCUGGGAUCACUAUGUUAAAUUUGAGUGUCCAUACUUAGAUAACAUGGCAUCUGCAGUGGCUAUCACUAGGAAAUUCUCUGGUAAUCCUAAUCUCUUUUAGCAUCAUUAUUUUUUUAAGCGAGAAAUGCCCCCUCUACACCAACUUUACUUUGACAUGGUCCAUAAGAUGAUCACACCUCAAAAGGAAAGACACAUUAAAGCAAAUUACCUGGACCUCACUCUUAUGGAGCUGCUUGAUACUGAAGUCAACAUCAACUUGCCCAGUCUCAUUCUUAAGCAAAUGCAAAGGGUUCUCAUUAAGGAUCACCAAAAGUGAGACAAGCUGGCAUUCUUAUACAAAGGUUGCGCAAUGAAUUGGUUGAUACUUUGGCUGAGUUGGAGGAAGAUCAUGCCACUCAUGCUCAAUAUAAUGAGGCUCUUUAAGCUAUAAUCCUCACACUCGAGGCAGACCUUUCCAAAGAAAGGGCUAAUAAUAGGGAUGUUAUUCGCAAGUUAACACAGUUGAGUGUGCCUGUUCCACCCACCUCAUUUUGUUUAUCCUCUUAGUUCCCUAGGAUCUUGUUCUUAUAAGUUGUUUUUUACAAAAGUGCCUAGGUUGUUCAUUUUGCUGUAGUUAUCUUAUUCUCUUGUAGGUCAUAUUUUGUUGAAUCAAUGAUAUCUCUCUCUCUUUGUUUUA